GCAGAUGACGUUCUGGGAAAACCGUUAGUCUGCAAAGGAUAAGAAUAAAUAACAAACUCAGCUCUCCCAGAUUUCUACUUGUGGUACCCAGUAGAGAGAAGGGAUGAAGCACACAUGAGUUAUCCAACAUUAGGGUGUGUGCAUCAUAUUAAAAGGAUGCUUGUUGCCUGAUACAGUGGCUCAUUGGAAAGUAAACUCCAGGCAAUCAGGCACAAGUGAAAAACCAAGCAACCAUCAGUCUCAGAAAGUACAGACUGGCCUCCUUAUGUCCCAUUGGUUUUCCUGCUGAUGCGGCAUUUUCUAUGUUCCCCAUGGAUGCACAGAGAGAAGGCACAGCCUUCAGAAGAUUAUUAGAGUCUCAAUUUGAGGACUAAUUCCCUAAAGAGACAUGAAAAAUUCAACUAUGACUUCAAACAUGACUGCCCUCAGGAUGUAUGUUGGUGGAGCAUUAACUGAGGAGCCAGAAGCAUCGCUCCUCUACAUUUCAGGAUAAGAAUAUAUCUAUCUCACAGUGCUGCCCUGAGGAUUACAUGAAAUAAUAUAUCAAGUAUCUCGCAUACACCACUGCAAGAUUCUAGUCUUGGACUAUUUUGAUUAUCAGAAGAGGAGACAAGGCCAUUGGAUAGAAUAUUGCUCAAGUAAGUUUUCUGUCCUGGUAAGGUUCUCUCUUCCACCUUACAUGUCACAGUAAUCUUUUUAAAACAUAGUUAUUAUGUUAUGGGAUAUGUUAUCAUAUCCUGGAAUAAGUCCUUCCAAUAGCCUCUGUGUACUUAGAAUACCAUCCAAACCCCUUACAAAACUGCACGUUCUGGUUCCUACCUGCCUCUCUAACUUCACCUUCCACCACUCUAUUCUCAUUACUUCCUAUACUCUACUCCAGCCUUACCUGCUAACAGGCCAACCUUACACACCUAAUUAACUCAAGUCCACACUAGCCUAUGAAACCAUCUACACUAAAAACAAACAAACAAACAACCCACAAAACUCCUGGUGGAAAUAAUCUCCUUAGGUACUUAGCUUAGCAAAAAGAACAGCUUUUGUGGUUUAAACAAACAAACAAAAAUCCUACUAAUCUCUGGGAAGAUUCAGCCCCAUACCUGAUAGUAUGUUAUGUAAGAGAAGCAUAAGAUUUCAGGCCCUCCUUCUCCCUUUGGCUAGGUGCCUUUGUGCAGUGCACACACUACAUAACUUUCCAUGGCAGCAGCUUGGAAGCUCUUCCUCCAAAUUUCUCACACCUGGUUCCUUCUCAUCACUCAAAUCUCAUGUCAAAUAUCACCUCCUCUGAGUCUCCCCUAACCACAAAAACCUUUUAGCCAGCCUGACCAUCUCUAUGCACACUAUGCUUUAUUACCUCUGUAGCCUUACUACUAUCUGAAGUUAUCUUGCUUCCUGGUUGUUUAUAUGUUGUUAUCUGUCUUCCCCUCACUAGAAUAUGAGCUCCAAGUGUAAGGGGAUAUCGUUAGUCUAAGUCACUGUGUCUCCAGAACCCAUGGCAUGCUUGACAUGCUGAAAGCAUUUGAUAAAUACAUGCUGAAAUGAUGGUUGGAUGCAGGGACUAGAGUUUAAUGUGGAAGGAAAAUGAGAUCAAUGGACGGGCAAAUUCACAAGUUUAGAGAUAAUCUUUGUGAAUGCUUUUCAUUCUGGGUGUGUUUGAUCUGGGACAAUACAAGACUUCUAUAUAGUAAGGAACGGUAAACAGCCGAUAAAACCUGUUAAGAAACUGUAAGCCAAAUUAUUUUUGUCUUCUUUAUUCUGGUUUUUAUGGUUACUGAGAGGCCACAACUCCAUGAGGAGAAGGAUCCUGAGAGCAACAGAGCUAUCAGUCAGAAGACGAGACUAAGCUGAAAGAUUUCAUGGCCAUCAACCGCCAUGAAAAUAAACCUUGGUUACAAUGGCUCCUGCUCAGGAUGAAUGCUGUUAACUAUUUCCUUGCACAAGAAAAGUGGAGAAAGUAGUGAUGAGCAGUUAGAGUUACUGCAGGAACCAAAAAGCAUUAACUUUCCUUUCCCAAGAAUUUAUAUUUCAGAAGGUCCUAAACUUCUGAACAGAUAUUUAUCGAGAACAUACUAUGUGUAAAGCGAUGUGAAAUACAGAAACCUCUCUGGCAUGUGUACAAGAAUGAUUCAGCUUUUUGUGCAUUCACAUACAGUAGAUAUUCUGCUUUGAUCUAACCAGCUGCUUGUGGUGGAGAGUUAAGAGAUCUGAAGGUGACUGACCGAUGUACAUGAAAGCUGGUAUUUCAAGGUACACCAGCAACCUGGGCUUAAUGUAUCACCUCUGUGUAGGUAAGUUAUUUGUACACACACACAUACACACACACAUCAUAUCACAUCACAUACGUACUGAAAGAGGUACAAAGGAAGGAGGAGAAUAGUGAGGAAAAGAUUAUCUUUCACAAACAUACCUUUUAUACAUAAAUACACACAGAUACAGAAACAGUGAACAGAGAACCAACUUAUCUCUCAUGGAAAAGUGAUUCAAGUCUUUUCAAUCCUUCGAAAGCAUGCUUUCUUUGAGCCUGGAUUAUGAGAUAAUUCCUGCAUUACUAUUUUCCACAGGUAUCCUUCUGAAACUGUGUCAGCCAUUUAAUCUGCAGGUUAAAUUAGACGCCUUUAUCACCUGGCAUAACUUUCAAACCCUGCAACUGUCUUACAGCCCUUCUGGUUUCAUGGAAAGUUCACCAGGUUGACAUUUAGUUACAUGACUGAAUUCUAAAUAGGGAUUAAUAAAAUGAUUAAUUUACUCUUCUCUUCUCCUCUCUCUCUCUCUCUGGUUUCCCCCAUGAGUCAUGGUUGGCCAUCUACAAGAACACAAUAUCUAACUGAGGAAAACUGUCUUCCAACCGCAGCAUCUGUCUCCCUGGCAAGCUCUGCUGACAGUUGGGCCCUGGCUGUGGAACUGUUCAAGAAUCUUUUUCGGGCUGAGCUAUUAGUGGGCUCUCAUCCUCCUAGGUGCGGCUUCCUACUGAUUCCACUCAAUUUGAAAGAUGGAUUUGUAUAUAUUUAUCCUUCUGAGAAUCUGCUAUUGUGCAAAUACCUCAAAUUGAGACCCCCCAUGGGAGGCCAUGAAUGACACAGGAGCACUUGCGUUCCUUUUCCUGCAAAACAUCUAUAAAAUAGUUCGGUGGUUCCCAAGGGUCUGCUUCUGGGUAUUAUAUAAGCAGCUUCUCCUUCAGAAAAGGGAAAGGGAUGCUUCAAGACACAGAAAUAAAAAUGCUCACAUUUCUCUAAGGGAAUUUCAAAAUAGCAAGUUGCUUAAAUACCAAGGAAAGCACCUGGUUUCUCUCCAAGCCUAAAGAUAGCCUUUGAUAGUUUAAGAAAUGGAAGCAGGGGUGGGGGAAAGGAGAGGCGAGUGAGGAGGUCAUGAACAGCACCGGAGAGAUUGUAGAACACACAGAUCAUCUGGCAGUGCGCAUCUGAGUAAGUUCUGUCAUUUUUGCAAUUCUAUAAAAAGCACUUAGUUAAGAAGUUUAGUGUUUUGUUUUUUGAAAAGUGGUUAAGGUGGAGGCAUAUUUUGUGGACACGAUAUUCCAGUAACAGCACAUCUGUCUUGUUCUAAUUCAGAGCCUAAAAUACUGCUGUCAGGCUCUCCCUUUCUUUCUUAAAAAUUUCUUCCCAAAUCUACUUUAUCUACUUUUUUUUUUUCAAAUAAUUACUCAACCCUGAGACCCCCUGGAGGCUUCUGAUUUUUAAAAGAAUUAGAAAAGGUCUCCAGUUAUUAUUAGAUUCCAUUUUAGAGAAGAAAGCAGAAAGUGAGCAAGAUAGGCACGCCUUUAUGUUGCCUGAGUUACUUUUGAAAUUUGCUUCAUUCAAAGGCCAGGAUAGCAUGGAGCACCUUCAAACUAUAAAGUAAGAAUUCCACUGGACCAAUUAUUUGUAACCUCUCACUGGAAGUAAAAAUGAUUUAACCCCCCCCCCCAAGACCUAAAGGCCUUUAAGAGAAUCCAAGAAGCUUCAUACAUUUAAUAUUUUCUAAGAAUAAAUAUGGAGAAAAAGAUUAAGCCUUCACAUAUCCAACUUACGUAAGUCUGACAACAAGAAAAAAAUACACAGUGGAAAGGAUUCAUCUCAAACAAAACUCAGAAAAGAGGUUUUUGCAGAGUAGUAGUCCACUGGCUAGAUCUCUUUUGUUUAUAAUAUGACGUAAAAUUUGGACCUAUCAUAUAUUCUUUCUUAUGGUCCCCCUUGUGAAUUGAGGUUGUUAAAGUAACAUUGUAAUUAUCUUUUAUCUAUAGCAUGAUUUAUUUAUAAUAUGAAACUCCCUUUUACAUUUUUAGAUUCUUAAUACGUGAAGGCUCUCCUCAACAGUCAGAAAAAAAACUAACAUUGAAAUAUGAAACAAAUAUUUAUUUCACCAUCCAUUUUUUUUCCGGAAAAUUACGAAUGGGACUCCCAUAAAAACACUGCUACACAUCUCGUUUUAAACAUUUAAAAAUGUUUUUCAGUUUUAAAGGUCAUAUUUAGAACUGAACCAACUAUGAAUAUGAAUAAGUUGUAAGCCCUGCCUAACGCGGGUGUCUUUUCAAGUAAAAGACAAGACUUACUAAUAGUCCCAUUUGUUGUCCAUUAAAAAUCUACUCAUUGUGUUCACAGCAAUCCACACGCCACUCUGCGAGCCUGCUUGGACAAAGCCUUUGCUUUGUGUGUAUCAGAUGCAAAAUUUACUUAAAUUCCAGAUAAUUGCACGUACAUCUGCUAGGCUUUGUCACUGGUCUAUAUGAACAUUUCCACAGUGUAUACAAAGAGCAAUUAUCUAACAACUAAAGAAAAAGAAACAGUCAUUUCCCCAAAUUACAGCCAGCUCCUUUAUCAAGGAGUAAGUUUGCUAAAAGAAUGCUACCCCAAAACACUUUUUUAAAAUAAAAUGUAUUCACUCACACCACAUACAUUAACUACACAGAACAAAAAAGGGAGCUUUUCAACUGUCAAAUUACUAGGUCUGAAACAAGGAUAACUGCAAUUUCAAUAAAAUCAUCUCACAGAACACUGAAGUUCCCCUCUGGAGAAGAGAUUAAAAAAAAACAAAACAAAACAAAAAAAAAAACCCAAAAACAAAAAACCCUCACACCCAAUUUAAAUCAAUUUGAUGCAAUGGUAUAAGUUCCUAUUGUGUAUUCAUAACAAAAUAUUUCAAUAAUAGUCACUUACCCUGUUUAUCAUCUCAGUUCACUAAUUUGAGACAGAAGAGCCAGAAUCAAGAUCACGAAGGAAAGUCAAAACAAGGAAUAUUAAAAAAACAAAAAACCAAACAAAAACAAAAAAAAACCUUGAGACAAAAAUCUUAAUUAACAAGUUUUCACUUCAAUCCUUAGUUGAUUGCAAACAGCCCUAAGGCUCUCCAGUGGGGCUAUUUGGUCAAUGUUUCUCCUCUUUCACU